CAGUUUUUUCUUUUAGUUAAUUUCAGUACUCUUAGUUAGAUGAAUUUUAUUUUAAGCAUUUAUUUGGAGGCCUGAGGGAUACAAUUAAAGAACUUUGGAGAUCAUUCUUAAUUUGGUUUUUAGAACAGAAGGAAAUAUACUGUAACUUUCCCUUAUUUUUCUGGUGGAGAGAAACUUUUUUUUGCCAGCAGGAAAAUGCAAUUCCACUAAGAUUCUUGGGUCAGAGAUCAGAGGCUUGGAUCAGCAAAAAGAAACUAACUUUUGGAAGAAUUUUAGUCCAAUUUUAUGGGCCAGUUUAAACUACAAUGUAGGCAAUGGCAGGGUGCCUGCUUUCCCUAUAAGGAAGGGAAAGCCACAUGGCAGUGAUAUUUACCAGAGUAAGGAAGGAGGGCUGUGUGUCUGGAGGGGGUAGGGUGGGAGAGCUUCUCAAUAAAAUGUUCAUUUGUCUGACAUUAUAAGCAGCUUUACAGCCCUCUUGGAAAAACUUGAAGGGGGUUAAAAAAAAAAAAAAAAGGAGACUUGAAGUUCUGUUAAAAGAGAAUCAGAAUUUUGUUUGUUAAAUUUGUCCAGGGCUAGUCGACUCUUAUUUCUCCUAGUAAUGAAGAUGUGCAGCUGUGAAGAGAAUCC
rnacentral:lncRNA from 1 species